UUUGAGAGAGUUGCUGGAUAUAAGGUGAAUGCUCCUGAUCAACUUCAAAGGGCGCCUCUAGAGACAUUCUAUGCUGUUGUCAGAAUGCCAAGAGAUCAGUAGCACUAAGAACUGAACAAGACCACAACAAGACAAUGUCAGUGAAGAAAGGCCAGGCAAAUGAUGGACAGAUUAGCCUACCAAGCCAAGGCUGAUGUAAACUUCAUUUGCCUUUGCCUAUACUACACAGGGAGAGGAGGCGAGGCAAGGAAGAAGGGGAAGCUGGAGCAGAAUUUAAAACAUCAGUCUAAGCUUGCAAUCAUAGGCACUCAUUCUUGAAGUGACAAACAACUUAAAU
rnacentral:lncRNA from 1 species